UACGUAGGGACCAAGCGUUGUCCGGAAUCAUUGGGCGUAAAGCGCGCGUAGGUGGCCAUUUAAGUCCGCUGUGAAAGUCAGAGGCUCAACCUUUGAAAGCCGGUGGAUACUGGAUGGCUAGAGUACGGAAGAGGCGAGUGGAAUUCCUGGUGUAGCGGUGGAAUGCGCAGAUAUCAGGAGGAACACCAAUAGCGAAGGCAGCUCGCUGGGACGUUACUGACGCUGAGACGCGAAAGCGUGGGGAGCGAACAGG
rnacentral:rRNA from 1 species